GACGAACGCUGGCGGCGUGCUUAACACAUGCAAGUCGAACGGAAAGGCCCUGCUUUUGUGGGGUGCUCGAGUGGCGAACGGGUGAGUAACACGUGAGUAACCUGCCCUUGACUUUGGGAUAACUUCAGGAAACUGGGGCUAAUACCGGAUAGGAGCUCCUGCUGCAUGGUGGGGGUUGGAAAGUUUCGGCGGUUGGGGAUGGACUCGCGGCUUAUCAGCUUGUUGGUGGGGUAGUGGCUUACCAAGGCUUUGACGGGUAGCCGGCCUGAGAGGGUGACCGGCCACAUUGGGACUGAGAUACGGGCCAGAGUCCUACGGGAGGCAGCAGUGGGGAAUAUUGCACAAUGGGCGGAAGCCUGAUGCAGCAACGCCGCGUGCGGGAUGACGGCCUUCGGGUUGUAAACCGCUUUCGCCUGUGACGAAGCGUGAGUGACGGUAAUGGGUAAAGAAGCACCGGCUAACUACGUG
rnacentral:rRNA from 1 species